rnacentral:rRNA from 1 species
GAUGAACGCUAGCUACAGGCUUAACACAUGCAAGUCGAGGGGUAACGAGAGGGAAGCUUGCUUUCCUUGUCGACGACCGGCGCACGGGUGAGUAACGCGUAUCCAACCUGCCCCCAACUAAGGAAUAACCUUGCGAAAGUAAGACUAAUACCCUAUAAUUCCCUCAGAUGACAUCUGACGAGGAAUAAAGAUUUAUCGGUUGUGGAUGGGGAUGCGUCUGAUUAGCUUGUUGGCGGGGUAACGGCCCACCAAGGCAACGAUCAGUAGGGGUUCUGCGAGGCAGGUUCCCCACAUUGGAACAGAGACACGGUCCAAACUCCUACGGGAAGCAGCAGUGAGGAAUAUUGUUCAAUGGGCGGAAGCCUGAACCAGCCAAGUAGCGUGCAGGAUGACGGCCCUAUGGGUUGUAAACUGCUUUUAUACAGGAAUAAAGUUAGCCACGUGUGGUUAUUUGUAGGUACUGUAUGAAUAAGGACCGGCUAAUUCCGUGCCAGCCGCCGCAGUAAGAC